GACGAACGCUGGCGGCGUGCUUAACACAUGCAAGUCGAACGGAAAGGCCCUGCUUUUGUGGGGUGCUCGAGUGGCGAACGGGUGAGUAACACGUGAGUAACCUGCCCUUGACUUUGGGAUAACUUCAGGAAACUGGGGCUAAUACCGGAUAGGAGCUCCUGCUGCAUGGUGGGGGUUGGAAAGUUUCGGCGGUUGGGGAUGGACUCGCGGCUUAUCAGCUUGUUGGUGGGGUAGUGGCUUACCAAGGCUUUGACGGGUAGCCGGCCUGAGAGGGUGACCGGCCACAUUGGGACUGAGAGACGGACCAGACUCCUACGGGAGGCAGCAGUAGGGAAUAUUGCACAAUGGGCGGAAGCCUGAUGCAGCAACGCCGCGUGCGGGAUGACGGCCUUCGGGUUGUAAACCGCUUUCGCCUGUGACGAAGCGUGAGUGACGGUAAUGGGUAAAGAAGCACCGGCUAACUACGUG
rnacentral:rRNA from 1 species